rnacentral:misc_RNA from 1 species
GAAUGGCUGCGGCAGCGGGCGUACUCGCGCGGCGUACCCGAGCUGGUUUUGCCCUUGCCGGCAGCAAGCGUGCUUCGCAUYUUGCGAACAAAGCCCCGUUUAUCUCCGGCCCCGGAGUAUGGGUGACCCAUAAGGCGUAGGCUCUCUAGCUCGUUGCUGCGGCACCCGGUUGUUGGGUUCGUGCACGCCUGCACGUGCCCUGCACCAUGUGUCGCCCACGGAACUGCAGGUGGGGCACGGCGUCGGGGUUCUCCGCGUCGUGUCCCGCCUUUGCCCUGCAAAACCUGUUUGCUUACGGAAGCGCUAUCCAUACGUCGUGUCCUUUGGCUGUGGCCGGUUCCGCUUGGGCGUGAACUCGGCUGUUGACUUCUCCGCGCGUCCCCUACAGCAGCGACGGGCUCGUCCCUAGGUUGUACGGGUAUGUGCGGUUU